rnacentral:rRNA from 1 species
CGGGAGGCAGCAGUGGGGAAUCUUGCGCAAUGGGCGAAAGCCUGACGCAGCAACGCCGCGUGUGUGAUGAAGGUCUUCGGAUCGUAAAGCACUGUCGGGAGGGACGAAUAAGGGCCGGGUGAACAAUCCGGUCUGACGACUGUACCUCCAAAGGAAGCACCGGCUAACUCUGUGCCAGCAGCCGCGGUAAUACAGAGGGUGCUAGCGUUGUUCGGAAUUAUUGGGCGUAAAGCGCGUGUAGGCGGCCAACCAAGUCGGAUGUGAAAGCCCUCGGCUUAACCGAGGAAGUGCGUUCGAUACUAGCUGGCUUGAGUACCGGAGAGGGUGGUGGAAUUCCCGGUGUAGAGGUGAAAUUCGUAGAUAUCGGGAGGAACACCAGUGGCGAAGGCGACCACCUGGACGGAUACUGACGCUGAGACGCGAAAGCGUGGGGAGCAAACAGGAUUAGAUACCCCAGU